rnacentral:rRNA from 1 species
UAGAGUAAUGCGUGACCAACCUGCCCCAUGCUCCAGAAUAGCUCUUGGAAACGGGUGGUAAUGCUGGAUGCUCCAACUUGACGCAUGUCUUGUUGGGAAAGUGUUAGUGGCAUGGGAUGGGGUCGCGUCCUAUCAGCUUGUAGGCGGGGUAAUGGCCCACCUAGGCUUCGACGGGUAGCCGGCCUGAGAGGGCGGACGGCCACAUUGGGACUGAGAUACGGCCCAGACUCCUACGGGAGGCAGCAGCA